rnacentral:rRNA from 1 species
AUUGAACGCUGGCGGCAGGCCUAACACAUGCAAGUCGAGCGAGCGGCGGACGGGUGAGUAAUGUAUGGGGACUGCCCGAUAGAGGGGGAUAACUACUGGAAACGGUGGCUAAUACCGCAUACUAUCGGAUAACCCAUAUGGGAUUAGCUAGUAGGUGGGGUAAAGGCUCACCUAGGCGACGAUCUCUAGCUGGUCUGAGAGGAUGAUCAGCCACACUGGGAAUGAGACACGGCCCAGACUCCGACGGAGGCAGCAGUGGGGAAUAUUGCACAAUGGGCGCAAGCCUGAUGCAGACAGGCCACGUGUAUGAAGAAGGCCGUAGGGUUGUAAAGUAAUUUCAGCGAGGAGGCGUAACCGACAGAAGAAGCACCGGCUAACUCCGGGCCAGCAGCCGCGGUAAUUC